GAAGACACUCAUAAAGACCUACCUCUUUGACAAAGCUUUUUGACUCAAUAUGAUCGAGCUCAAAAUCAACUAGCAGGAGCCUUUGCAACGACCAAGUAGUUGGUCUGCAUCUGGAAACAGCUUCAGACCACCAUUAUGAAAAUGCUGCUUAAUAAUAUUUCAGAUAUGAAUUUGGAAAACUGCUUUCUGGAGAUGUGUUUUCUGUGUUGGCUUCCUUCUCGCCUCUGAAACCGGAUUACCGUUUUCUGCAGCAUUAUCGUUGAAGUGAUGUUAUCAACAAGAAGAAAGGAACAGCAAUGGAUCGCUAGGCAGUGUGGCCAAUGAAAUCCUCUUUGUAAAGUUCUCUGCAAUAACCAAUCAAAAUGUAUCUUUCUCAUCACACUGCCUGUGUGAUAGUAUGGUCUAGAGGUGUUUCCAAACAAACCAUAAAAAGUUUGGUUUUCAACUGGAUGUGAUGCAUUAAAACACAUAAAGUACAUUGCAGAAA